GAUAACCUACGAUGUUGGUGACUCUACUGUGUCUAAAACCGAUGCUAUUUAUAAGGGAGUUCUACAUUUUGACCAGGACGUCAAGCCUUGUCCAUGACGACAUGAGGAAGAUGAAACGGUUAAUGCGAACACCCACCUGCGAGAGCGGGUUUUUUAGACAUACUGAGCACGGCAUAUGUGGGGGAUAA
rfam:Bacillus azotoformans LMG 9581 contig128, whole genome shotgun sequence.